AUACGUAGGGGGCGAGCGUUGUCCGGAAUGAUUGGGCGUAAAGGGCGCGUAGGCGGCCCGGUAAGUCUGGAGUGAAAGUCCUGCUUUUAAGGUGGGAAUUGCUUUGGAUACUGUCGGGCUUGAGUGCAGGAGAGGUAAGUGGAAUUCCCAGUGUAGCGGUGAAAUGCGUAGAGAUUGGGAGGAACACCAGUGGCGAGGGCGACUUACUGGACUGUAACUGACGCUGAGGCGCGAAAGUGUGGGGAGCAAACAGGAUUAGAUACCCUGGUAGUCCACACUGUAAACGAUGAAUGCUAGGUGUAGGGGGUAUCGACCCCUUCUGUGCCGCAGUAAACACAAUAAGCAUUCCGCCUGGGGAGUACGACCGCAAGGUUGAAACUCAAAUGAAUUGACGGGG
rnacentral:rRNA from 1 species